GCGUUUGUAGUCCAACGUUUAGGAUAAUUGCCUUCCAAGCAAUAGACCCGGGUUAGACUCCCGGCAGACGCA
rnacentral:tRNA from 1 species